rfam:Citrus sinensis cultivar Ridge Pineapple sweet orange scaffold00003_contig_67, whole genome shotgun sequence.
GGAAUUUUAGGAACAAUCUCUUCUGUAAAAUUAAAUUGAUACAUAAAAGAUUAGCAAGACCCCUGUACUAGGAUAACAUGAGCAAAUCAGGAAAGAGUCUAAAGAAAU